rnacentral:rRNA from 1 species
ACGGGGGAUGCGAGCGUUAUCCGGAUUUAUUGGGUUUAAAGGGUGCGUAGGCUGCUCGACAAGUCGGCGGUGAAACCCCGGGGCUCAACCCCGGGCCUGCCGUCGAAACUGCCGAGCUUGAGUUCGGAUGCCGUGGGAGGAAUGAGUGGUGUAGCGGUGAAAUGCAUAGAUAUCACUCAGAACACCGAUUGCGAAGGCAUCUCACGAAUCCGAAACUGACGCUGAGGCACGAAAGCGUGGGGAUCAAACAG